rnacentral:ncRNA from 1 species
UAUUCUGCGAAAUCUAUAUCAGUAUAGCGAGCUUAGAAUAAGGCCCGAAGUGGAGCGGAGCGGAGGGUGGCCCAAAGCUUGACCAACCCCAACGAAACUCCGAAUACAGCCUUAAUGAAACGUACAGACAGACUUUGGGUGCUAGGAUCUUGAGUCCAGAGGGAAACAGUCCAUAUCGUACGCUAAGGUCCCUAAACAAUCGCUUAGUUAAAAAGGAAGUGAUCUUGCAAUGACAACCGGGAGGUGGGCCUGGAAAUAGCCAUCCUUCCAAGAAAGCAUAAUAGCUCAUUGGUCUAGCUCCAUGGCACCGGAAAUGUAUCGGGGCUAGACUGAUUCUCGGAAGCCACGACACCCUGGAAGCGAGGCGCGAACCAGGACGUUCUCUAAAAUGGGGAACACCUGGAUAUAUCAGGAGUGAGAUUCAAUUUUAUUUCAAGG